CCCACGCGCCAUCCCCGCUGAUCCCCCAGCCCGACCCUGCCACCGCCAUCCCCGUCCCCGAGCGUCGACGCCCCGUCCCCAAGCGCCAACGCCCCAUCCCCGAGCCCCGACGAGCCUCGAGCCCGACCAUGACCGCGCCAUCCCUGCAGCACGUCCCCACCCCGAGCGCCGACGCCCCGUCCCCAAGCCCAGAAAUCCGCCUCGCCUCGACCUCGCGGCCGCGCCAUCCCCAUCCCCAUCCCCGUCCCGAGCGCCGACGCCCCGUCCCAGAGCCCGGCCACCCGCUGCUGCACAAGCCAGCAUUGGGCGCGGCAUAAUCUGUCGUGCACGUCGUUCCCAGAAACCACCGCCGAACCCGCGCGCGCCGUCCCUGGAACCGCCGCCAAACCCCGCCAUCCGCGCAUCCCCCUCGAUCCGCACUCGCCGCCGCACAAUCCGGUAUCCCGAGCCUGAGCCCUAGCCCUCACGCGGUCAUGCCUCCCCGCUCUGUGGCGAUUGCGCUCUCGCGCCCCCCUUCUGGGUGCUUUGUCGCAGUUGCGGCUGUGGCCGCCACAUUGCUCCUUCCUCUCGGGUAUCUGCCCUCGUGUUGUCGUGUCUCCCCGCUCCGCUGUGGUCGUGCUCUCACGGCCCCUGUCGGGCGCUCCGUCGCCGCCGCGGCUGCGUCCGCCACAGGGGACCACUGAGGCGCUGACCACCAGCACUACCACAGAGGGCGCGCGGGCGUGCCGGAGGCCGGACCCACUGUCUUGGCGUGCGGCGUCAGUGCGACGUGGUCGUGGUGGGUGCUCGCGUACGUGUCAGUGGCCGCCGAUGUUGACACGCUGUGGUAGGUCAUCACCGACUACGAGCACCUCGCCGACUCAAUCCCCAACCUCAUAUAGAGGUGGUUCCGCUCGUGCUUCGCUUGUAGUGGGACGAUUCUGUGUCUGCAUGAAGGGUGGAUAUGGCUGGAGCAGAGAGGCCUGCAAUGGGCAACACACGUUGUAUUGGCACAAUGAAUGUUGAUUCAGUUAUUUAAAAUUCAGAUCUCAUAGUUUGAUAAGGUAGUUUCUUGCUUGGUAAGUUAGUCUGAUGUCAACUCCAAUAAUAUUUUUCUCCAAUACCCUGUUAAUAGGUCUGUCAUAUGUCCUACUUGGUUAAAGGUUUCCAUUCUAUGCUUGGUUUAGGAGCAAUACAGGCAUGGACGUCAUUAGAUUGGGGUGGUGAGCUAUAUGAUGGUGAAUCAAAUGAACUUCAGAACAUUGACCUUCAGUUAAGAGAUGCCUACUGACUGCCUGAAAAUCGGUGUGCAGAUCUUUUAGGGAGUCAGCGGCCUUGCAAUCCCCCUCUGCAACCAUAAGAAAUUUCGUGUGCUACAGAUUUAGUACUGAUGAAUCCCUCUAUGCAGUUCCAAACAACUGCACAAAUCUUAAGGUGUGCCUCUCUUAUUUUUUCCUGAAUCUCAAGCACUUUAGUUUGUGGUGCUUGCAAACAGCAAUUGCACUAGCAGACGUGAUGUUUUCAUUCUCUGUGAGAUUGUUUUCAGAGAGAGGUAGGAACAACAGUGGUCGUUGUUGCUGCACAAACAAAGGCUAUUGCUGGUAACUUUUACUUGUUAUAUUAUUUAAGCAUAUUAUAUAGACUAGACAUUUGCUACUUUGCUUUCUCAUCAUCUUAUGUUUUUGAUUUAUUUCUGCAUCUGUUCAAUAUAAAUUUGAGAUGCAUAUGCUCUUUCAUUUCUUUUUACAUUAAAUAGUAAAAAUUAUGGUGGCAGGGUUGAUGUCUUUGUGUGUGUGUGAACCAGACAUGAAAAUAAAUUCGAAGCUAUUGCCAUUUUAAAAAAAGAACUACAUUACACAUGAUACAUAUAUUUAUACCUAACAAUUUUUUAAUACUUCAAUCUUUCAGUUUCGACUCGUCAAUUUCUUUACUUUCAUUAGGACAGUUGUUACUGAUGGUGCAUUUUCCACCAUUAUGCCCUUCAUAUUCCAUCAACGUGAGAUAAGUUUCAUUAAAAUUAAGCAAUGGUGUCGAGAAAGGCCAUUUAGGCUCUAAACAGUCGCAGCGAUAUACUCUUUCUUCAUACACUGACUUUGACGUGGCGAGAUAGUGGGAUAUUUGGGGCCAAAAUUAGGGUGAACGGUUGUAGACAGUCUCAAUAAAUGGUUAUAAGAUGAAACAUUCAAGCCAUAAAAAUCAGAUAGCCUUUCCUUGAUCCUUCCAUCCUCUAUGGUGCAUUUCAAAUCAAAUAACCUGAUGACUGCUAUAGAAAUUAAUCUGCAACUUAGUGUUGUUUUUUGACAAUACUCUGACAAGAUAGUGGUAAAAAUGUCCACUAUGUAAAAAAUUUGCUCAAAUGUUCUGGCCACCAUGCACUCCAUAUCCAAAUGCCUAAGUUGGAGUGUUGAACAUCCCAUUUUUUUUCUUCAUAUUAACAUUUGGCUUGUCGUGGAAAUAGAUUUGCAAAAGCAACAAACUGACUUGGUUAUUGAAAUAGAACUCUUUUAUACUUAAAUGUUUGUUGGCCACUCAAUCGUCCAAUGGUGCACAAGCGCUGCUUUUGGCAAAGGAGAAUUAUGGGUGAAAAAGUGAAUUGGCAUGUUUUUGUCAAGUCAAUUCUUACUCUUUUUUUGGUAAUUGAAUGUUUUGUUAGAUUCACUAAAAUGGUGAUCAACUAUGUGCACCUCCACUAGAUAAAUUCUUACUGUUUGCGUAUUUCACUCCUUCAAAGAUAGUCUAUUGGAUAAAGCUAAAAGUAGUAGCCAUUUCCUUAUACUUGCACAUCUUAGGGUCAAUUUCAUACUAGAUAUAUUCCUUCAGGUACUUUUUAUUUGCUUGCGCCUAAAAAUGGCUAAACAUCACUUUUUGCUUGAUGUUUAGUAUUAGAUUGAUUAACAUUGAUGUGCAUUUCUCGUUGGGUUAUUGAAAACCACAUUUAAUUUAUUGUGUGCCCUUAAUGGUAGGGAAAUAGAUCGUGUAUGCACAACUUUUUGCAGUAAAGAGUUCUAUUGUAGUUUGUAGGAAUUAAAAUUUCAUUUUUCUAUAUAUAAAAACACGAUUUCAUGCAAAUUUCUCUCUCUAUGGUACAAGAUACGUGACGAUGUGGCAUUUGCAAUGCACACGGUGAGAAAGGAUAUGGUUAGUUGGUCUGUCAACUCUACUUGAUGAAUGACAACAAUUCUUUCAUUUGUUGAAAUUCUCAGCUUGUUCAGUUCAUAGUUUUGAUUUCAUGGUUCAUAUAUGGAUACACACCAAUACAUGUUUGUUGUGACAAUAUGAUAAAGGUGUACAUGUUUUGUCGUCUCCAUUCCCUAUGCUUAUAUCAACUGUAAUAAACAAGUUGUAUUUGAAAAGAUUUCAUUUCACAUCACUAUGAUACAAUACAUAAUAGAUGAGAGAACAUAAUAGAUGAGAGAACUGAUCUCUUUUGUUUUCUUUCUUUCUGAGAGAUAAAUUGUAUACAUCUUAUGCCAAACUUCCAAGAGCUUAAUAGAUGAACCACUCGAGGUUUUUUUAUUCAUUUUAGAUUUCAACUGAUCGUACUACUUGUCACUCAAGUCAUGGACAGUUUGCAUGCGGAUUUGACUAAAUCAAUGAUAAAAGGUUUAGGGUUUGGCAUUGUUA